UUGGUUUUAUAUUUUUCUUUUUUGUAUUUUUUCUUCUUCUUUUUGAUGUAAUCUGGCAUAUUUUUUCUAUCUAAGUAAUAGCCAAAUUGCUCACAGAAAUCUCCAAGUUCUUUUUUUUUGGUGAGCUUUUGUUUAUCUAUUUGUCUUUUUAAUUUCAUAUAGGUGCAUAGGGCUAAGCCUUCUGCACAUAUUUCUGUGGAGAGUUCUCCGAGUGUAUAUGAUGAAUAUACUAUUAUUCCAUUAUGUUUCUUGCGAAGUCUUUCUUUGACUUUUUCUACAAAUAGAUAUGGAAGACCAGCUAUAAAUUUUUCCUUCCAAUGAUCUAGCUGGCAGUCUUCUCGUAUUAAAAGUCUUGAGAAAAAUACAUCUUUAUACCAUUUAUAAUGAGACAAAGUAGGGCAGCGUAAGUU
rnacentral:lncRNA from 1 species